AUUGAACGCUGGCGGCAUGCCUUACACAUGCAAGUCGAACGGCAGCACGGGAGCAAUCCUGGUGGCGAGUGGCGAACGGGUGAGUAAUAUAUCGGAACGUGCCCAGUCGUGGGGGAUAACGUAGCGAAAGCUACGCUAAUACCGCAUCAGAUCUAUGGAUGAAAGUGGGGGAUCGCAAGACCUCGCGCGAUUGGAGCGGCCGAUAUCAGAUUAGGUAGUUGGUGAGGUAAAAGCUCACCAAGCCGACGAUCUGUAGCGGGUCUGGGAGGCCGACCAGCCACACUGGGACUGAGACACGGCCCAGACUCCUACGGGAGGCAGCAGUGGGGAAUUUUGGACAAUGGGCGCAAGCCUGAUCCAGCAAUGCCGCGUGCAGGAUGAAGGCCUUCGGGUUGUAAACUGCUUUUGUACGGAGCGAAAAGGCUUCCACUAAUACUGGGGGCUCAUGACGGUACCGUAAGAAUAAGCACCGGCUAACUACGUGCCAGCCGCCGCCGUAAGAC
rnacentral:rRNA from 1 species